rnacentral:rRNA from 1 species
UGGGUACUAAGCCUGCGAGUCAACGCAGCAAUACAAGGCAGACGGCUCAGUAACACGUAGUCAAUCUACCCUAUGGACGGGGAUAACCUCGGGAAACUGAGAAUAAUACCCGAUAGAUCAUAAUUCCUGGAAUGGUUUAUGGUUCAAAUGAUUUAUCGCCGUAGGAUGGGACUGCGGCCUAUCAGCUUGUUGGUGAGGUAAUGGCCCACCAAGGCUAUAACAGGUACGGGCUCUGAGAGGAGAAGCCCGGAGAUGGGUACUGAGACCCGGACCCAGGCCCUAUGGGGCGCAGCAGGCGAGAAACCUUAGCAAUGUGCGAAAGCACGACUAGGUUAAUCCGAGUGAUUUCUGCUGAAGAAAUCUUUUGUCAGUUCUAAAACUACUAAUGAAUAAGGGGUGGGCAAGUCUGGUGUCAGCCGCCGCGGUAAUACCAGCACCUCGAGUGGUCAGGAGGUUUAUUGGGCCUAAAGCAUCCGUAGCCGGCUUUGCAAGUCUCCGGUUAAAUCCAACUGCUCAACAGAUGGGCCGCCGGAGAUACUACAAAGCUAGGGAGCGGGAGAGGCAGACGGUAUUCGGUGGGUAGGGGUAAAAUCCUCUGAUCCAUUGAGGACCACCAGUGGCGAAGGCGGUCUGCCAGAACGCGUUCGACGGUGAGGGAUGAAAGCUGGGGGAGCAAACCGGAUUAGAUACCCGGAUAGUCCCAGCUGUAAACGAUGCAGACUCGGUGAUGGGUUGGCUUCGCGCCAACCCAGUGCCGCAGGGAAGCCGUUAAGUUCUGCCGCCCNGGGGAGUNACGGUGCGCAAG